rnacentral:tRNA from 1 species
AGGGGCAUAGCUCAAUUCGAUAGAGCAUCGGUCUCCAAAACCGAAGGCUGAGAGUUUAAAUCUCUCUGCCCCUG